rnacentral:rRNA from 1 species
AACUCCAACCCCUGUGACAUACCACUUGUUGCCUCGGCGGAUCAGCCCGCUCCCGGUAAAACGGGACGGCCCGCCAGAGGACCCCUAAACUCUGUUUCUAUAUGUAACUUCUGAGUAAAACCAUAAAUAAAUCAAAACUUUCAACAACGGAUCUCUUGGUUCUGGCAUCGAUGAAGAACGCAGCAAAAUGCGAUAAGUAAUGUGAAUUGCAGAAUUCAGUGAAUCAUCGAAUCUUUGAACGCACAUUGCGCCCGCCAGUAUUCUGGCGGGCAUGCCUGUUCGAGCGUCAUUUCAACCCUCAAGCACAGCUUGGUGUUGGGACUCGCGUUAAUUCGCGUUCCUCAAAUUGAUUGGCGGUCACGUCGAGCUUCCAUAGCGUAGUAGUAAAACCCUCGUUACUGGUAAUCGUCGCGGCCACGCCGUUAAACCCCAACUUCUGAAUGUUGACCUCGGAUCAGGUAGGAAUACCCGCUGAACUUAAGCAUAUCAA